CAGUGAGAGAUAAAGAAGGGCGAGUAACGGAGGAGUUAGUUGUUAAGAACGAGAGAAAGCAAGAAAGAUAAUGCCAGGAAAAGAGGAGAUUCGGUUUAGGAUUUCCGCAAUGGGGCUAGAAGAUCGAAGAUGAAAUAAAAUGGGAUGCAAAGCUAGUGAGGGAAAUAGAUAGAUGGAAGGAGAGAGAAACAAGGUAGGAAGGGAACAGGCGUUUACGUGCGCCAGACAUCCGAUGAUGCAUAGUUGCUGUUGACAUGCUGGAAUGUCAGGCUCACAUGACCUCUCGAGCACAGCCAUUAUCCGCAAAGCGACCCCCAAUUUAGGACAAUAACCGCUUCGUAGAGUCGUGUAAUAAUUAUUGGCCGGUUUUCGGGUUCACCCUUUUACCCCCUUUAGUUAUCAGCGCCAGCAUUUUGUCACAAUCAUUGCCUAAUAAUUAUUUGGAACAGCAAUAUAUAUAGAUAG
rnacentral:misc_RNA from 1 species